CUGUGGGGGCCAGCGAGCUGCGCGACCUGUAUUUGAAAACGGAGAACUACCUGGGAGGAGAGUACUUUGCUCGGAUGGUCAAGGCGAGUGAGCCCUCGGCGUCUCCAAG
ensembl:miRNA